rnacentral:rRNA from 1 species
AUUGAACGCUGGCGGCAUGCUUUACACAUGCAAGUCGAACGGCAGCGCGGGCUUCGGCCUGGCGGCGAGUGGCGAACGGGUGAGUAAUACAUCGGAACGUGCCCAGUAGUGGGGGAUAGCUCGGCGAAAGCCGGAUUAAUACCGCAUACGACCUGAGGGUGAAAGCGGGGGAUCUUCGGACCUCGCGCUAUUGGAGCGGCCGAUGCAGAUUAGCUAGUUGGUGGGGUAAAGGCCUACCAAGGCGACGAUCUGUAGCUGGUCUGAGAGGACGACCAGCCACACUGGGACUGAGACACGGCCCAGACUCCUACGGGAGGCAGCAGUGGGGAAUUUUGGACAAUGGGCGAAAGCCUGAUCCAGCAAUGCCGCGUGUGUGAUGAAGGCCUUCGGGUUGUAAAGCACUUUUGGCGGGAACGAAAAGGACUGUGCCAAUACCACGGUUCGAUGACGGUACCCGCAGAAUAAGCACCGGCUAACUACGUG